rnacentral:rRNA from 1 species
UACGAAGGGGGCUAGCGUUGCUCGGAAUCACUGGGCGUAAAGGGUGCGUAGGCGGUGCUUUAAGUCUUGGGUUAAAUCCUGGAGCUCAACUCCAGAACUGCCUUUGAUACUGAGGAUCUUGAGUUCGGGAGAGGUGAGUGGAACUGCGAGUGUAGAGGUGAAAUUCGUAGAUAUUCGCAAGAACACCAGUGGCGAAGGCGGCUCACUGGCCCGAUACUGACGCUGAGGCACGAAAGCGUGGGGAGCAAACAGG